CAGGAAACCAGGGAGUUUUCCCAACCCUGCAAACCCUGCAACUCCCUAUUUCUUUUUCCUUCAACCUGCCUCAGUUCCUGCAAUUCCACCUUUAGCACACGACUCCCUUGGUUUAAGCAGCGUCAACUCCUGCCGCUCACUCAAAGGAGGGACAGAGCAGUUGGAUCCUCUUUUGAGAACUCAGGGAUGGGAGAGCAGUUCCUCACAGGUGCCUCCUGGAACCCAGAAUCAGUCUCAACCCAGCAAUUUCCAGCAAGGUUGUGAGUCUUCUCUAACUCCUGAGAAGUUCAAGACUUUAUAACAGGAAGCCUUUCCCUCUUUUCUGUACUCGUUCCUCUGUAUGGAAUGUAUUUGACUCAGGAAGGGUAUGUAGUGAAAAAGUAUAAGCCACAAAGUUAUAUAGUCGCGGGUUCCAAUCCUAGCUCUGCUGCGUGCCAGCGCAUGGUGGGAUUCCUGGAAGUGGUGUCUGCCCACCGAUACAAACCAAUGGACGGAUAUCGGCGUGGUUCUGGGACAUUCCCUUGCCUCCUCUGAGCUCCACCUUCUUCAUUCCCAAAGCCAAGGUGAUUUUACCAUCAGGGCUUCUAAAGAAGGUAAAAUAGGAUGGCUGAUACGGAGUUGCCACUGGCCACUUGUCACCACGCCUGAAAUCCCAUCACAUGUCAAUCCGUCCCAGUAAGGCACUGGUGCCUGGGCAUUGUAGACUGCCCACCCUCAGCCAGGGGCUCGCAGGUAUCAUCAGCUACCAGCCAAGCCUAGAGCCCCCUUUGCCACCUGCUGUGCGUCCUUGCUCCACGGCGCCAUCAUCUGGAAGCAAACCGGAAACGCAUCCAGUCAUCCAGAUGCUUGUUCCGAGGAUGUCAAACAUCUGCAAGGUGGAAACCGGGACACUUAGCGUCCUGGGUCUGCCUCUCGUGUCAGGCAUCCGGGCUCCAGGGGACUCCCAGGUAACUGGCUGUGCAUUUGGGUCCCAGUUUCACGCAGUGCCCAACGCAGACCUUCUGCCCAGACGGUCGCUCCCUCCACGUUUUCCAAGUGGAGGGAUAAACACAGGAAGUUUGUGGUCACGGUCGUACCAGCCAAACCCUUAACAGAGUCUUGGUCCGGAAAAGAACUACAAAACAACAGGAGGGCGGGGGAGGCAUCUGGUUCCUUUCUUUUCAGGCUGCAAUAAAUCAGACAACGGGGAAAGGAAGAGGCUGACGGAGACAGAAGCACUUAAUGGAAACCUCCUUUGCCUGUGAUUGUCUCCCAGUGGCGCAAGGAAAGAACCGUGGCUCCUCCGCUUCCGAGCUAAGUGGCCUGGAGCCUCAGUUUCUCUGUCUGUGAAAUGGGGGAAUAUUCCCACUCUCCUCAAGUUUCAUCAAGUUAUAAAAAAAAAAAUGAAAAUACUUGGGAAAUGGUAUAAUAGUGAUCAUCAUCAAACUCAAUGAUGGUGGUGAUAAAAAUCAUGUCAGCUUAUGGUUAUUUCUUCAUUCAUUCAACAGAAAGUGGCGAGCUACUUUUCUGGGCCAAGCACUGCUCUGGGUGCUGGGAAUAUAGCAGUGGGCAAGGUGGACAUGGCCCCUGCCCUCUAGCGGGCCCAGACGUAAGGCAGCUAAAUACAUAAAUAAAUGAUUUCUGGUGGCAGUAGAUAUUAUAAAGAAAACAAAACAAGGGCUCAGACAAACAGCGAAGGCCUCAGGUAGGAACAAUCUUGCAUGUAUUGUUGUUUAUCUGUUUUGUUUUGAUUUUGAGAGACAGAAAAAUAUCAUGCAGCCGGAGGGCAGCCUGAGAUGCAAUUGGAGAAGGAAGCAGCGACUCCUUUAGAUGCUAUAGGCCUGUAAAUGCCAAUGCACGGGGUUUGGAUCAGUAUAUUCUGCUGACAGAAGCUCACUCUGGCUGCUUCCCGGACAGUAGCAAUCGUGAGAGCAAAGAGGCAAGUGGGGAGACCAGCGAGGAGGCUGAUGCACGCUCAGAUGAAAGCUGGUGGUGCGUGAGGACCCAGCACCUGCUGAUAUUUCCUGCCAAUGUGCGGCAUGUCACUGAAUCCUCGCAGCAACCCUGUUCCAAUCCUUAGCAUGCCCAUUUUACAGAUGAGAAAACUGAGGUUUUGGAGGUGUUGAAUAGCUUGCCCAAGGUCAUAGAGCCCAAUCCUAACCCUGACCCCAGCUGAUAUAAACAGUGGAGCUGGGGUUCCAGCCCAGGAAAUCUGAUUCUUGAGCCUAUCUGAUCCUGUGUCACAACCAUCCGAGGCCUGUUGAGUUGGGUGGUGAGGCUGUGGGAACCCUUCCUAAGACUGUGCUCCUUAGGGACCUGCAGGGACCACCUCCCUCUAAGUUGCUCUCCUGGAUCAGACACAAGCCCCCAGACCUGGUUCCAUCCUGCCACCACCUGUCCCGGGUAGCAGAGGGCAUGGAAAGUCACCUGCAGACACCAUGAAUUAUUAUAUUUUUUUAAAAAGAGGCAUAACUUACUACAAUGAAGUGUAUUAAUCUUAGAUGUACAGAUAAGUAGGUGUUUACAUGUAAAAACACCCCCCACACUCCACCCCCAGGAUUCCAGGUUUCCGCUGGAAACUCCUCAGUGGCUCCCAGAUCCUGGGCAAGGGGCCUCCAGGGCAGGGCAGGUCAGCACCAAAGCCCUGGUCAACAAACUAUGAAGUGCAGAGGGUGGGUUGGUGAAUGCCUAUGUCUCCGGGAUGAUGGUGCUUUACAGAAGCGACUCGCAUGGGCGUCUUCACACCUUUCUCGUCUCACAGCAGUCAGUGAGGCAGGUGGUCUCAAGCUGAUUUGCAAAGAGACCUCUGCCGUGACAUGGAGUGACGGGGAGGGAUAAACUUGAUGAAGCAGAGGCCCUUCCAAACUCAGACAUCCCAAGAUUCCCAGGGCCGAGAGGAAGUGACAGGCCCAUCCGGACACUAUUUUCUCCCUCCCAAGGAGAAAGCAACCCCUAGAACUCUCCGGCUCCCACUUGGAGAGAGAGUAUUUUGCUUGUCCUCCUCUCUCCAGGGAAGAGUCUCUCUGGGGGACACAUUUGCAUUUGCAAAAUGCUGGGUCAAACAGCAAAGUUUUCAACAAGAAGAUACUGAGGUUUGAAUCCCAGCUCUGUCCCCUACUAGCUGUGUGGCAUCGGGCAAGUUGCUUCCCCUCUCUGAACCUCAAUUUCUUCAUCUGUAUAUGGAGACAGCAAUAGCCCCUACUGCAAAGGUUGUUGCAAGGAGUCGAUGAGAUAAUGAAACUAAAUGUGCUCGCUCACAACUUGGACACGCUCCGUUAAUACCAGCUGCCACAAGUGCCACUACUACGCUGCUGCUGUUGUUGUUGUUGAAGCCUUGAGCACAAAGUACAUGUUCUAUAGACCUAUGCUGCUUUCUUCCCUUUCCAGCUGUCACCUUGCCCCUGCCUGCCUGUUGACCAAGCAUCUAGAGCAGUACCUGGUUGACGUGUCUAGGGGUAUCUCCAAAUCCCAGAGAGAGAGACUUCUAGAAGAUGCCCCAAGGGCAGAACUCAGGUGACCUCCAAGGCUGAACCCCAAGUCCAAGCACGUGUCAUAGUAUCUGUGUGAAUUCCCUGCAGCCGCCACCCGCCACUGCAGCAUUAAUAUGCCUGCGUUCCUCUUAGGUUAAUAUAUGUAUUAUUUAUAGGGCUUUAUUAUGUGCUCAGAGGGCUCCCUUGAGAAAUAUAAUCCUGCAUUGGGAGGUAAAUUUGAAUAAUAUUUACAAUUAAUUUCCGUCAAUAAAGCAAUGCGCCAAGGCCUCUGUGCAGCAGAAAUGGGCCCUGGGUUGGUUUCCCACUAACCGCUCCCCUGAGAAAGCUCUCGUAGCUUUUAAACAGCUCUCAGACAGUGCACUUCUCUCGAACUCUACCUUUGCUGCCUCUGCCAUGGCUGGAACUGCGUCCGAGGCUGCUGCAGCCUCCAACCCUCCUCCUGCCCUUCCUAGCCGACCCUGCUCCCCCCACAUCUGGUCCCACAGCAGCCCCCGCCCCCUUCCCGUCUCUGUGAUCCUGUGCUGCCCCCACCCGCAGCCCCUCCUCCCACAUCUCCCACCAAGGCAGUGCCUACCCCUCCUUCACGUCAGGGCUCAAGUGCCUCGUCCCCGAGGAAGGUCCCUUGGUCUUUGAUCAGGGUCCCUCUAUAACAUGUGCGUGACACUCCCUGCAGUUGUUUCCCAUGGAGGGGACACACUUUUUAUUAUUGACAGUCUUUCCCACCAGCCCAUGAGUGAGCUCAUGAGGACAGAGACUGUGUCUGUCUUGAUCAUUCCUGUGUCCUCAGUGCCUGCCACAGGACCUGGCAGAGAAUGGGAACAUCUGUCCUUGAGUGACCUGAUGCAGUGCCCAAGAAGAGCAUGGACUUGGGAGUGUGGAACCUGAGUUGGUGUCCCUUAUCUGCUACGGCUUGCUGUAUUAUCUUGGGUUGCUUCAUCUCCCCGAGCCUCUGCAAGGUGGAUGGGGAGGACAGGGGGCAGGUGAGUGUGAUGGGGACCUCCAGAAGCGAGCCACACACUCUUGCUUCCGUCCCUUUAUUCAAGAGCAAUUUUGUCUUCAAAGGGAGGAAGCAGUGGGCCCCUGCCGAGUUAUUUCCCAGUAGCAGAGUAGCUUUCUGAUUCCUCCCUGGUCCUGGGUACCACCCCCAGCAGCAAGUUCCCAAGUCCAGGGUUUGGUGACCACAGGCCCGGGGCACCCCGACUCCAGCAAGAGCAGAACAGGUUAAGGAGGAGUCGAGGGAUCGCUGGCCACUUCCACCCCCGCCGACCACCACCCUGCUUUGCAGAUUUCUCCAAGGGCAGCGCUCAAAACCGCACUCCCCUCCACCGUAAAACGGAAAAGGCCUGGACAAGAAGCCAGGGACUCAGCCAGCCAACCUGGUUCAACGUCCAGCUCCAUCGCUUGCUAGCUGCGUGACCCUGGAUGAGUGAAAUCUGUUCUUCCGCCCUCACCUUCUGCAUCAGCCCCCUGGCUGUGACAGUCCUCUUCCCACAGGGCCACUCUGAGGUUUUGAUGUCUGUGCCCAGCACAUGGCAGAUGCUUAAUAAAUGCCAGAUCUUUUUCCUGAA